rnacentral:sRNA from 1 species
GUCAAGAACCCACCACUUAACGCCUAACGGCGUUUGAAGUGGGGGCUUGUGAGAGCAAGCUCAAAUUGACUAGCCUCAGCGCAACGAACGGCGAUGACCGUUAUCGUUAGCGCUACGUUAGAAACGUGAUCACACCCGUGGGCGUAAUGCCUAACCUGUGGCUCUGU